UACGUAGGGCGCAAGCGUUGUCCGGAAUUAUUGGGCGUAAAGAGCUCGUAGGCGGUUUGUCGCGUCUGUCGUGGAAGCUUGGGGCUUAACCCCAAGUCUGCGGUGGAUACGGGCAGACUAGAGGCAGGUAGGGGAGAACGGAAUUCCCGGUGUAGCGGUGAAAUGCGCAGAUAUCGGGAGGAACACCGGUGGCGAAGGCGGUUCUCUGGGCCUGUACUGACGCUGAGGCGCGAAAGCGUGGGGAGCGAACAGG
rnacentral:rRNA from 1 species